rnacentral:rRNA from 1 species
GUCGAGCGGAUGAAGAGAGCUUGCUCUCUGAUUCAGCGGCGGACGGGUGAGUAAUGCCUAGGAAUCUGCCUGGUAGUGGGGGACAACGUCUCGAAAGGGACGCUAAUACCGCAUACGUCCUACGGGAGAAAGCAGGGGACCUUCGGGCCUUGCGCUAUCAGAUGAGCCUAGGUCGGAUUAGCUAGUUGGUGAGGUAAUGGCUCACCAAGGCGACGAUCCGUAACUGGUCUGAGAGGAUGAUCAGUCACACUGGAACUGAGACACGGUCCAGACUCCUACGGGAGGCAGCAGUGGGGAAUAUUGGACAAUGGGCGAAAGCCUGAUCCAGCCAUGCCGCGUGUGUGAAGAAGGUCUUCGGAUUGUAAAGCACUUUAAGUUGGGAGGAAGGGCAGUAAAUUAAUACUUUGCUGUUUUGACGUUACCGACAGAAUAAGCACCGGCUAACUCUGUGCCAGCAGCCGCGGUAAUACAGAGGGUGCAAGCGUUAAUCGGAAUUACUGGGCGUAAAGCGCGCGUAGGUGGUUUGUUAAGUUGGAUGUGAAAUCCCCGGGCUCAACCUGGGAACUGCAUUCAAAACUGACAAGCUAGAGUAUGGUAGAGGGUGGUGGAAUUUCCUGUGUAGCGGUGAAAUGCGUAGAUAUAGGAAGGAACACCAGUGGCGAAGGCGACCACCUGGACUGAUACUGACACUGA